UACAGAGGUCCCGAGCGUUGUUCGGAUUCAUUGGGCGUAAAGGGUGCGUAGGCGGCGGGGCAAGUCUGAUGUGAAAUCCCGGGGCUCAACCCCGGAACUGCAUUGGAUACUGCCUUGCUAGAGUACUGGAGAGGAGACUGGAAUUUACGGUGUAGCAGUGAAAUGCGUAGAGAUCGUAAGGAAGGCCAGUGGCGAAGGCGAGUCUCUGGACAGUAACUGACGCUGAGGCACGAAGGCCAGGGGAGCAAACGGG
rnacentral:rRNA from 1 species